CCAGGGCCCUUUGAAGAAGUACAGAUUUUUCUGGGAAGAAGGCGUGUGUGUAGUUCCGUGGCUUGCGUCUCUAGAUGCCGAAAGAGGAAAGGAGAGAAUCUUCAGACACUUGGUUAGUACUGUCCUGCUGGAAGAAAGUGGACAUCAAAGAACAGACUAGCUACAUACUCAUGAUUCAGAGCCUUGCCUCUGAGCGGCCAGGUCCUGGUGACAGUUUCUGACAUUCUGGUAAAGUUAGUGUGUGUUGCUGGCCCCCAGGCAGGUGUCCUGAACAUCAAAAGGUGCUGUAUUAUUAUUAUCUUCACUUUGAAUAUUGGGAAACUAAGGCACAAUGGGCUUGUGACUUCCCCAAGGUUCUGAAUGGAAUCCAUUGAGAAACUGACCAAAAGCCAGGUCUCGAAGUUUCUUCCAGCAAUCGCUAGACCACACUCCCCAAUAUUACAGCAUAUUUAUGAUAUAAUUAACUUUCAGAAAGCCAUAUGGCUUUUGUUACAAAGACUAAAGGAAUGUGCUUUUCGUAACGAAUGGCAUAUGGCCUCCAAUAGCUCUUUGCUUGCAUAUUUUAACAAAAUGAACACAUACAGAGAUUAGAUGCCUCAGGUCAGUUAGCAGACUGAGGUUGAUUUCCUUCUGCUCUCUCUAAUUAAACUGCAUUUUGGACAUGUAUCAAGGGGUUUUUUGGCAGCCUGUGAGUGUAGAUGUACAUAACGUGGCUCAGAUGAUCCUUUUCUCCUAUGGCUUUGCCCCUUUAAAGAGUUGGCGCCGGUCUCAUUCACAGUGGAGCGUGCAGCUCACAGAAACAGGCCAUUUCCCAUGAAGCUGCAUCCUUGCAGAAUGGUGGGAAAAUCCACUGACUUAAAUGAUGAAGUAGACAAAAGGAGCAAAUACAUGGGUACCACUGAGUUGAAAGUUGACAUUUAGCUUUGGUCAUUUAAGUGAUGUAGUGCUGAUUGGGUACAGGAUAGUUGCUCACAUGCUGAACUAAUUUAGUAGCAGUUAAGCGUGAGGGCUCACACUUGAUCUCUUAGAGUUACUCGGGAACCUUUCUAUUUUGAGUAACAUGCCUUAAAGUUCUGCUCUCUUAGUUCACACUGUGUCUCCUCCUUUUACUGAUUUAGCAGGUUUUCUGAUGCAGUCUGAGAAUGAAUUCCUUGCAACUUUCAUAUUAUCAUAUUACAAUAUUCAUCACUGAUUAUUUGUGUUCAAGGUCAAUGACAUUAUCUCAUUGGAAUUCCCUGGACUCUGAAUUCAUAACAUAGUCCAAAAUGCUCUUGUCUGUGAUGGGAAAAUUGCAGCACAAUUACUGUAAGUCAGUUGAUUCAAAGGAUCUGGGUUUCAAAUUUAGCUACUCAUUAUAUCGGCAAAUCACUUGCAUUUUUUAAUGCUUGUGUUUAUAUUACACUAAUAAUAAAAGUUUUUUGUUAGUUAAGUGGAAGUAUAUCA